rnacentral:rRNA from 1 species
UACGGAAUGUGCAAACGUUAUUCGGAAUCACUGGGCUUAAAGAGUCUGUAGGCGGUUUGUUAGGUGAGGUGUGAAAUCCCUCGGCCCAACCGAGGAAUUGCGCUUCAAACCGGCGAGCUAGAGGAGGAUAGAGGUGGGCGGAACUGAUGGUGGAGCGGUGAAAUGCGUUGAUAUCAUCAGGAAUACCGGAGGCGAAAGCGGUCCACUGGGUCCUUUCUGACGCUGAUGGACGAAAGCUAGGGGAGCGAACGGG